rnacentral:rRNA from 1 species
ACACAUGCAAGUCGAGGGGCAGCAUGGUCUUAGCUUGCUAAGGCCGAUGGCGACCGGCGCACGGGUGAGUAACACGUAUCCAACCUGCCGUCUACUCUUGGACAGCCUUCUGAAAGGAAGAUUAAUACAAGAUGGCAUCAUGAGUCCGCAUGUUCACAUGAUUAAAGGUAUUCCGGUAGACGAUGGGGAUGCGUUCCAUUAGAUAGUAGGCGGGGUAACGGCCCACCUAGUCUUCGAUGGAUAGGGGUUCUGAGAGGAAGGUCCCCCACAUUGGAACUGAGACACGGUCCAAACUCCUACGGGAGGCAGCAGUGAGGAAUAUUGGUCAAUGGGCGAGAGCCUGAACCAGCCAAGUAGCGUGAAGGAUGACUGCCCUAUGGGUUGUAAACUUCUUUUAUAAAGGAAUAAAGUCGGGUAUGUAUACCCGUUUGCAUGUACUUUAUGAAUAAGGAUCGGCUAACUCCGUGCCAGCAGCCGCGGUAAUACGGAGGAUCCGAGCGUUAUCCGGAUUUAUUGGGUUUAAAGGGAGCGUAGAUGGAUAUUUAAGUCAGUUGUGAAAGUUUGCGGCUCAACCGUAAAAUUGCAGUUGAUACUGGAUAUCUUGAGUGCAGUUGAGGCAGGCGGAAUUCGUGGUGUAGCGGUGAAAUGCUUAGAUAUCACGAAGAACUCCGAUUGCGAAGGCAGCCUGCUAAGCUGCAACUGACAUUGAGGCUCGAA